CCUACGUGAGGCUGCAGUAGGGAAUCUUUCACAAUGGGCGAAAGCCUGAUGGAGCAACGCCGCGUGCAGGAUGAAGGCCUUCGGGUUGUAAACCUCUGUCCUCUGUGAAGAUGAUGACGGUAGCAGAGGAGGAAGCUCCGGCUAACUACGUGCCAGCAGCCGCGGUAAUACGUAGGGAGCGAGCGUUAUCCGGAUUUACGGGGUGUAAAGGGGGCGCAGACGGCGAUGCAAGCCAGGAGUGAAAGCCCGGGGCCCAACCCCGGGACUGCUCUUGGAACUGCGUGGCUGGAGUGCAGGAGGGGCAGGCGGAAUUCCUGGUGUAGCGGUGAAAUGCGUAGAUAUCAGGAGGAACACCGGUGGCGAAGGCGGCCUGCUGGACUGCAACUGACGUUGAGGCCCGAAAGCGUGGGGAGCAAACAGGAUUAGAUACCCCAGUAGUC
rnacentral:rRNA from 1 species